rnacentral:rRNA from 1 species
AUACGUAGGGUGCAAGCGUUACUCGGAAUUACUGGGCGUAAAGCGUGCGUAGGCGGUUGUUUAAGUCUGUCGUGAAAGCCCUGGGCUCAACUUGGGAAUGGCGAUGGAAACUGGGCGACUAGAGUGUGGCAGAGGGAAGUGGAAUUCCAGGUGUAGCAGUGAAAUGCGUAGAGAUCAGGAGGAACAUCCGUGGCGAAGGCGACUGCCUGGGCCAACACUGACACUGAGGCACGAAAGCGUGGGGAGCAAACAGGAUUAGAUACCCUGGUAGUCCACGCCCUAAACGAUGCGAACUGGAUGUUGGGUGCAAUUUGGCACGCAGUAUCGAAGCUAACGCGUUAAGUUCGCCGCCUGGGGAGUACGGUCGCAAGACUGAAACUCAAAUGAAUUGACGGGG